rnacentral:tRNA from 1 species
GGCUUCGUAGCUCACCCGGUAGAGCGCUCGCCGCUUUGGAGCAUGGUGUUUCUGUCGCUGGUUCGAAUCCAGCCGAAGCCC